UAUGUUCAUGAGCCUUGUACACACCGCCCGUCAAGCCACGAAAGCUGGGGGUACCUGAAGUCGUGAUAAACGCCCAUGGUAAAACCAGUGAUUGGGACU
rnacentral:rRNA from 1 species